rnacentral:rRNA from 1 species
AUUGAACGCUGGCGGCAGGCCUAACACAUGCAAGUCGAACGAGUGGCGGACGGGUGAGUAAUGUCGUGGAAACUGCCUGAUGGAGGGGGAUAACUACUGGAAACGGUAGCUAAUACCGCAUACCAUCGGAUGUGCCCAGAUGGGAUUAGCUAGUGGGUGGGGUAAAGGCUUACCUAGGCGACGAUCCCUAGCUGGUCUGAGAGGAUGACCAGCCACACUGUGACUGAGACACGGUCCAGACUCCUACGGGAGGCAGCAGUGGGGAAUAUUGGACAAUGGGCGCAAGCCUGAUGCAGCCAGGCCGCGUGUUAGAAGAAGGCCUUCGGGUUGUAAAGUACUUUCGUCGGGGAGGCGUUACCCGCAGAAGAAGCACCGGCUAACUCCGUGCCAGCAGCCGCGGUAAUUC